GCCGGAGUGGCGGAAUUGGCAGACGCGCACGACUCAAACUCGUGUGGUGAAAACCGUGUGGGUUCAAGUCCCACCUCCGGUA
rnacentral:tRNA from 1 species